rnacentral:misc_RNA from 1 species
GAUGAAGAACGCAGCGAAAUGCGAUACGUAAUGUGAAUUGCAGAAUUCAGUGAAUCAUCGAAUCUUUGAACGCAUAUUGCGCUCUCUGGUAUUCCGGAGAGCAUGCUUGUUUGAGUAUCAGUAAACACCUCAACUCUUUUUUCUUUUUUGAAAUUGGAGCUGGACUUGAGUGAUCCCAACGCUUUCUUCCAAGAAAGUGGCGGGUUGCUUGAAAUGCAGGUGCAGCUGAACUUUUCUCUGAGCUAUAAGCAUAUCUAUUUAGUCUGCCUAAAAAACAGAUUAUUACCUUUGCUGCAGCUAACAUAAAGGAGACUAGUUCUUGUGCUGACUGAUGCAGGAUUCACAGAGACAGCUUCGGCUGACAUUGUAAACUCGAUCUCAAAUCAAGUAAGACUACCCGCUGAACUUAAGCAUAUCAAUAAGCGGAGGA